rnacentral:lncRNA from 1 species
GAGGGAUGGCGCCGGCGCAGGCCUGCGCGCCACGCGCUUUAGGUGGAUGAGGGAUGGCGCAGGUGCAGGCCUGCGCGCCUCACGCUUUAUGUACAUGAGGGAUGAGGCAGCACAGGAAUUGGCACAACCUGAAGUCAGCUCUGCAGCUUUCCAAGCUUCGUUCUGCGUGUCCUGUACUCAACAGUCAUCUCAUGCUGCAGGGUGGCUGCGUGUGCUCCGUACAUCACACCCAUAUUUCAGGGAGAAGACUGCACAUAUAACACAGCUCUGCAUGGAAAACCUUCCGCCUGGAGGGGUGGCUUCCUAGAGGUGUGGCGUUGCCCUCUGUCUUGAACAGGCUGUGAGCCGUUUUGUCAUUUGGGGUUUCUAGAUGCAAACAGCAGAAGCUGCUGGCCAAUUACCAAAGGGAACGUGCUGUUAGGAUAUCAGGGCCUGGGAGCUGCAGCAAUGUGGGCUGACAGCAGAGAGCUAAGGCACUUUCCGAGGUGACGAGCUGGGCUGCUAUGCUGGAGACGGCUGGGCAGAAGCAGUUAGCAGGGCAUUUCCUUGUGUCCUUAUCUCAAGAGUCACAGUUUCAGGAGUGAGCAUCUCAGAGGUCAGGGUUCAUUCACAUGCCACCUCCCUUCUCACUGUGUCAUUGGGGAGGGGCCGUCUGGACCCUCUGGCUCCUGUGGCAAGAAAUGGUCCCAUCAAGUCAUCCAAGGGCCUGGAAGCCUCCCAAGGAAAGCAGGAGGGCUGGGUGCUGAGCAGCGUCCAGCAGCAAAGGUAGGCUCCAGCCCCGCAGGUGUGGCUGCGCCAUCCCAGGGAACGUGCCCCAGCAAGUGCUGGUGCUGCUCUCACUACAGGUGGGGUUGGUUUCACUGGACAGGUGGCACUUCCUCACCUCUUGCCCUCUGGACCCACGGCAGGCACUUUCCAGGGCACAUCACGUGGGUGUGCGGUCUGGCUGCUGGGUCCACGCGGGUUCUCAAUCAUGACCUGGCUUGCAAGCUCUUUCCACAGUUGGAUAAAUGAAGCCGUUGGGGAAGUAUCCGCAAACUCUUACAGUGAGUAUGUGAUAAUGACACACGCGUGGCCCUUCUAAGACCUCCGCUAGGCAUUAUCAGUGACUGUGCUCGUGAGCGCUGACCUCCGCUAGGCGUUAUCAGGGACUGUGCUCGUGAGCGCCGACCUCCGCUAGGCGUUAUCAGGGACUGUGCUCGUGAGCGCGGACCUCCGCUAGGCGAUAUCAGGGACUGUGCUCAUGAGGGCGGACUUUCACCAGCCACGCUUCCGAGGAGUGGAGUCUUUCUCAGCUCUGCCUCUCCAAGAUGACCAUCUUGUGAAGACGAUGCGUUCUUUAUACACAAGUUCUGUGUGUGUGUGUGUGUGUUCCACACACAGGACCAAAGUUGAGAUAGGCGCACAUUUUCUUGGUCCCACUUGUGGCCCCAGUCGGCUGUCAGAAGUGGGUGUGCUCCACAUGUACCCACCAUGUCAGGGCACAGUGCUCACAUUUCACACCUCAGCAGGUGCCUUGAUGUUGACCAGAGGCCCCAAAAUCAUCUCUUUCUAUGACUUCUAGAUCUUAGAUUCCCAGGAACUGGGAAAUGCAGUCAGUAUCUUUUGGGUCCAAGAAACUUUGUCAGAGCCCUUGUGGGAGAACCAUAGAUUCUCACCAGAUAAACAGAAGAGCUUCGUGUUAGAGAAACCCGCCUGUCUCCCCACAUUCUCAGUUUUCUGGAGAGCAGCUGAAAGCCAUCUGGGUGGAGAUUAAGAGCUCCAACCGUGUAGCUUUGAUGUAUCGGGCAAGUUGCUUAAGCUCUUUAAUGCUGUUUCCUCAUUUAUUGUGUGAGGCCAAAAAUACCCAUUCCUUAAAGUUGUGAGGAUUAAAAACAGUAAUGAAAAGUGAGUGGCAAGUGCCGAGUACACAGUCAAGUACCUGAUACUUUUUAGUGUAAGGUAAGUAGCAAGAAAGCAUGAAAUUUAUUUUCAUUUACUCUUACUACAUGUGGUAAACCAUCUAUGCACAGAGCACUGCAUUGGGUGCCAUGAAUGACAGAAUAAGAGUACCAGGUGCAUGAAAAGCUUAAAAGACAAAUGAGACAGAGCUAGGCUGCAGAAGACUUAAAAAGUUGAUGUAUUUAACUUUUAAUGGACACACUGUACAUGUUUAUGGGGUACGAUUUGUUGUUUCCAUGCAUAUCUGUGUUGUGUAAUGAUCCAAUCAGGGUAGUGUGUGUGCCCAUUUCCUCAAGGGUGGAUCAUUAUGUGUAUCAUCGUGCAUCAUCAUGUAUCAUGCAUGUACCAUCAUCAUGCAUCAUUGUGCAUCAUCAUGCCUGUAUCAUUAUGUAUCACCUCAUGCAUAUAUUAUAAUGUAUCACCUCAUGCGUGUAUUAUCAUGUAUCACCAUGCAUGUAUUGUGCAUGUGCCAUCAUCAUGCAUCAUUGUGCAUCAUCAUGCCUGUAUCAUUAAUCACCUCAUGCAUAUAUUAUAAUGUGUCACCUCAUGCGUGUUUUAUCAUGUAUCACCAUGCAUGUAUUGUGCAUGUACCAUCAUCAUGCAUCAUUGUGCAUCAUCAUGUCUGUAUCAUUAAUCACCUCAUGCAUAUAUUAUAAUGUGUCACCUCAUGCGUGUAUUAUCAUGUAUCACCAUGCAUGUAUUGUGCAUGUACCAUCAUCAUGCAUCAUUAGGCAUCAUUGUGCAUGUAUCAUCACCUCAUGCAUGUAUUAUGUAUCACCUCAUGCAUGUAUCAUGCAUGUACCAUCAUCAUGUAUCAUUAUGCAUCAUUGUGCAUGUAUCACUGUGUAUCAUGCAUGUGUCAUCAUGCAUCGCCCCAUGCGUGUAUCAUUUCUUUGUGGUGAGAACACUCAGAAGCCUCUCAUCUCGCUAUCUUGUCAUAUAUGCUAUUUUAUUGUUAACCAAAGUCAGCCUAUUGUGCAGUAGAACAAUCUCUCCUCAUCCCCUGUCCUCAUCCUCCCCUCCCAAGCUUCCAUAACCACUGUUUACUCUCUGCUCCUAGGAGAUCAACUUAAAAUUUUGUGUUAUUUUUGGAUUUCACAUACAAGAAAUCCAUACAAGAGCUCCAUAUGAGAUCGCUCAGUACCUGUUUCUCUGUACCUGGCUUAUUUCGCUUAACAUGAUGUCCAAGCUCAUCCAUAUUGUCACAGAUGCUGGGAUAUCAUUUUUUUCAUGGGAGAAUGGUAUUCCAUUGUGUAUCUACACCACAUUUUCUUUAUUCAUUCUCCGUUGUUGGGCACCAAGGGCGAUUCCAUACCUUGGUGAUUAUGAACAGUGCUGCGAUAAGUGUGGGGGUGCCGAUGUCUCCUCAACCCAUGGAUUUCCUGUCACCUGGGUCUUUACCCAGCAAUGGGUUGCUGAGUCCCAUGGUAGUUCUAUUUGUGUUUUUUUGAGGAACCUCUCUGCUGUUUUCCUGAGUGGCUGUAGAGAGCUAUAGAACUUUAGGUCUGUGAGAGAUAAGUCCUCCAGUACACAUGCCAUUUUCAGAAGGGCAAACUGUAGCCCAGGAAGGUCAGGUGCCUUGACCAAGGCAGGCACAGUGAGAAAGAGGCAGUGUUAGGACCGCAACUGAUUUUCCUCUCCAGUCUCUUUUGUGAAGAUUGGAUGCUAAGGUCAUAUAGGAAGCACUAUGGAAUAUGUAGGAGGUGCUCAGUCUGUUUUGUGAAGAUUGUAUGCCAAGGUCAUAUGGGAAGCACUAUGCAUUAUGUAGUAGGUGCUGUGUGCCAUACAUUAAGAUUACAUUGUAAAUAGCAGGCACUAUGUAUUGUAUAUUAGCAUGAUGCACUGGGUCCUGUUGUCUGGGAGCCUGGCACCUGGCAGCUUCAAAGAACUUACAAGGUCCACAGGAAGGAACCUGGGACAGCCCAGGGAGCAUCACUGAAAGAAUUGGCCUGGAACAGAAGCCCCACAGCUCACCUGGGGGGAGCAGGGGGAGGAUAGGGGUGAGGAGGGAGAGGACCAGGGGAGCAGCGGGAGGACCAGGGGUGCAGGACGAGCACUGGGGGUGCACGGGAGAGCAGGGUGCAAGGACCUUGCUGGCUGAGAAGACAGCGGGAAUGGCGGGUCCUGGGAGAGGGGAGGAGGGGAGGCAGGCCACCAGCCACCCUGACUUCAGCCAGGAGACCCAUUUCAGAGGCUCAAAGGGUGGAGAUGGUGCAGCCAUAGUGGGAAGCUGAGCCCCAUGCUGGAUGCUCAGAUUGAGGGGGCUCCUGAGGGGCUGCGUUCCUCUCUCCAGGGGCCGUGGGACGGUGGCUGCUCAUCUCACAGGUAUUUAUUGGGUUUUUCACCACCUGCCAGGACUUUGCUGCCCACGUCACACAUUUCAUGUAACCUGUAGGUGUAGAGGCCUCAUUUUCAGACAAAGAUGAACUAAGAAAGUGUCUUCUCGGAGGUCACGGCUGGAGCCAGAUGGUCAGGCUCAGGCUGGGGCUGGCUUCCCUCGAUGUGAUGCACGGCUCCCAUGUCACGUUUCCCUGACUAUCAGGAGCUCCCAGAGGCCAAGGAUGGGGUGGCCGCCUGGACAAUUCAGACCUAAGGAAGGGCUCCUGGCCUCUUCCCUGAGAGCCUCUAAGCUGACUGCUCUCUUCCUGCUCAGCAGCUCAUGAUCCCCGGUGGCUUCCUUGAGCUGGGACUUGACUGAAACCCCUGGGACUGGCCCUCCAGCCACCCUGACUUCAGGGGGUCGAGGUGCUCACUGGGCCAGUGCUCAGGAGGCUCCGUGCCAGCUGGAACACCGGGAAACCCUCUAUCUGAAUCUUUGACCCAGGGAGGAGCCUGGAGAGGGCACAAUUGAUAUUCUCAGGUUUUUUAAUCCUUUAAGAAGAAAAGAUAAUUAAAAAAAUCUUUUCACUCAAGAAGCAUACGAUAGAAUAUGGUGAUACAGACAAAGGGUAGGCCCACUGAUUCGAAAAUUACAGAUUGAAUCCCUGAGACAAAUAUCUCCCCUGCUUUCAGGUAGAUUACUGUCUACAGGUGGGAUAACCAU